UUCGUUGAUGCAGGUCAGUUAACUCCCUUCCUUAUUCGCCCGCUCUGGGGCGGCAUUGACCCCGGUCAAUGUUCUUCUGUGCCUGAUUGGUUAACUUAGCUCUAUCGCAACAGGGCAACCGCAGGAGGCCAGUCAUGUUUUUCGACAACGUAGUGAUCGCCGGGGUGCUGACAGUCAGCCUCAUGCUUUUGUUUUUUGUUGGGUUUGGAUUCUUUAUCUGGAAGGACGCGCAUAAGCGUAAAAAGCCUUAAAUCAGGUCUUUCUGGAAGCACGAGCACGCAAGGCAUUUUGGGCAACUUAGGUUGCCCUUU
rnacentral:misc_RNA from 2 species